AUUGAACGCUGGCGGCAGGCCUAACACAUGCAAGUCGAGCGGCAGCGGGAAAGUAGCUUGCUACUUUUGCCGGCGAGCGGCGGACGGGUGAGUAAUGCCUGGGAAAUUGCCCAGUCGAGGGGGAUAACAGUUGGAAACGACUGCUAAUACCGCAUACGCCCUACGGGGGAAAGCAGGGGACCUUCGGGCCUUGCGCGAUUGGAUAUGCCCAGGUGGGAUUAGCUAGUUGGUGAGGUAAUGGCUCACCAAGGCGACGAUCCCUAGCUGGUCUGGGAGGAUGAGCAGCCAAACUGGAACUGAGACGCGGUCCAGACUCCUACGGGAGGCAGCAGUGGGGAAUAUUGCACAAUGGGGGAAACCCUGAUGCAGCCAUGCCGGGUGUGUGAAGAAGGCCUUCGGGUUGUAAAGCACUUUCAGCGAGGAGGAAAGGUCAGUAGCUAAUAUCUGCUGGCUGUGACGUUACUCGCAGAAGAAGCACCGGCUAACUCCGUGCCAGCAGCCGCCGUAA
rnacentral:rRNA from 1 species